AUUGAACGCUGGCGGCAUGCCUUACACAUGCAAGUCGAACGGUAACGGGCCUUCGGGUGCCGACGAGUGGCGAACGGGUGAGUAAUACAUCGGAACGUGCCCGAUCGUGGGGGAUAACGAGGCGAAAGCUUUGCUAAUACCGCAUACGAUCUACGGAUGAAAGCAGGGGACCGCAAGGCCUUGCGCGGACGGAGCGGCCGAUGGCAGCUUAGGUAGUUGGUGGGAUAAAAGCUUACCAAGCCGACGAUCUGUAGCUGGUCUGAGAGGAUGAUCAGCCACACUGGGACUGAGACACGGCCCAGGCUCCUACGGGAGGCAGCAGUGGGGAAUUUUGGACAAUGGGCGCAAGCCUGAUCCAGCCAUGCCGCGUGCAGGAUGAAGGCCUUCGGGUUGUAAACUGCUUUUGUACGGAACGAAAAGCCUUCUUUUAAUACAGGAGGGUCAUGACGGUACCGUAAGAAUAAGCACCGGCGAACUACGU
rnacentral:rRNA from 1 species